UACGUAGGGUGCAGGCGUUAAUCGGAAUUACUGGGCGUAAAGCGUGCGCAGGCGGUUUCUUAAGUCAGAUGUGAAAGCCCCGGGCUUAACCUGGGAACUGCGUUUGAAACUGGGAGACUUGAGUGUGGCAGAGGGGGGUGGAAUUCCACGUGUAGCAGUGAAAUGCGCAGAUAUCGGGAGGAACACCAAUGGCGAAGGCAGCUCGCUGGGACGGUACUGACGCUGAGACGCGAAAGCGUGGGGAGCAAACAGG
rnacentral:rRNA from 1 species